AAAAAGGAUGAACUUUUGGGGUUUCUGAUGCAGCCAGAGAGAGAGAUGAAGACACAAAACCUCCAAAACAAGUUGAGGGUUCGGCGACACACUGACCCAGACAGAGAGAGAGGAGGUCACCUUGGCCAAGCCCACCUACCAGGAUCAUUUUCAGCCAAGGGCAUCCCCAAUGCUCUCAUUCAGGUGUGUGUUUGAGUUGAAAAGUGUAGAGAUGUGCACCAGGCACAGUUAAAUCCCUGUUAGAAUAUA
rnacentral:lncRNA from 1 species